rnacentral:tRNA from 1 species
ACGGGUAUAGCUCAGUUGGUAGAGCAUCGGUCUCCAAAACCGAGGGUCCUGGGUUCAAGUCCUAGUGCCCGUGCCA